UUAAAGGCUGUGAAGUAGCGAAGUAGUUUUUUCUCGGUGACAUUUAGAGAGUCAGCGGAUGCUGAAAGCUGACCGUACAAGAAUAAACGAAUUACCCUACAGAGCCGCGCCGACAAAAUCGACGACGGGCGCGCCCGUUAAAGCGCUAGAGUGUCACUGGAUUUAACCAAGCACUUGAAUAAUGAGAAUUAUUCUUUUGGUUAACCGAGUCCGACUCGGUUUUUUUGUGAAAAAGAAUAAUUAAAAAAGGGUGGUAUCGCCCUUCG
rnacentral:ncRNA from 1 species